AUGACCACCGUUACUCAAAAUUGAGAAGUGUCUGUCAGUGCAGUUGCUCUUCGAAAUGCUUUCAAUACGGUUGAAACUACGUCCGAAUACGUGCUCAAGAGUGGAGUAAGGACUGUUUGAACAGAGGCUGAUGCAUCCUAAGUGAAGAAAAGCAGCGUUGGAUGGUUACGCAGCCGUUCUUUGGCCGUUCUGUGGGUCGGCGCUCGGUUGUGCGCUGUAUGAUGGUAUAUGUUUGCUGAACACAACAAUUAACGUCCUCUAUGCUUUCCCUGGCCAAAUUAUCUGUCCGAUUCAUUUGGUAGUGUCUAGUAAUAAACGAGUCCCUUGAAAAUAUUGCCCUUUCGUUCACUCGUGGCGAGGGCCUCACGACGGCAGACGUAAGUCCUUAGAUUAGCAUAUAAGGGUUUAUUGACCGGCUGCCGCCUCGUGCAAAGAUCAUGUGCCACGUAACGUCUCUGGCAAAAAAAGAGUGUUCCACACUCGCCGCCUGGGCUACGAGCAGUGCUGGCUAAUAUUUCCAGGGAUUACAUGCGCAGAAAUACCCAACGAAGUGGACGGGAAAGUGCCUUCCGUCGUAGCUCAAUUGGAUCUGCAAGAAACCGAGCAAAUUUUGCCACAUGGUAAUGGGUUGUGCCGGACCCAAAGAUCCCAGUGGACAGGACAGGAAGAGUCAAGGCUGAGUUUGCAGCUAAGAGCUUGGAGGACCAAUGGAAGCUGAUAAACUAUGCCCGUGCUGUAGCAAAGACCAAUGGCUGUCUUGACCGAGGUAGCCACCCGUCGAAGGCUCAUUGCUGUUGUCCUGCUGGAGCUGGGUGGUCUGCCAUAGGUCCAUGUCUCAAGAAAACUCACAAUUGUUUUCUUCAAAGUGAGAGGAGUUCUUUUCUCUCAAGUUCUUGCGUUCUUGAUGUUGCUGCAGCAUCAUUCAAGUCUGUGAAGAAAAGAUUUGCUGGACAGGACCAUUGCCCUCAAGAAAGAAAAUGGGUCCACAUACUGCCGAUGUUCAUUCUUAUCUCGGCAAAGAUGGGCCAGCUUUCAAGCACGGAUCUGCAAAGUGCUCUCAUCACGGCUUGGGCCAUCCUGCAGCAACAGCAGUGUGGUUUGCUUCGUUGAUGUGAAGGUGUGUUUCAUGUAGGUGACUGUUGGUGUGACAGUGGGGCUUGCAGUGGAGUCUGAAGUUCGUGGAUCAUUGUAUUUAAAAAUAGACAUGUAAUACGUACUGUAUUGUUAUUCUCUGAAAUAAAGUGUACAGCCAAUUU